AUUGAACGCUGGCGGCAGGCCUAACACAUGCAAGUCGAGCGGAUGAAGGGAGCUUGCUCCUGGAUUCAGCGGCGGACGGGUGAGUAAUGCCUAGGAAUCUGCCUGGUAGUGGGGGCUAACGUCCGGAAACGGGCGCUAAUACCGCAUACGUCCUGAGGGAGAAAGUGGGGGAUCUUCGGACCUCACGCUAUCAGAUGAGCCUAGGUCGGAUUAGCUAGUUGGUGGGGUAAAGGCCUACCAAGGCGACGAUCCGUAACUGGUCUGAGAGGAUGAUCAGUCACACUGGAACUGAGACACGGUCCAGACUCCUACGGGAGGCAGCAGUGGGGAAUAUUCGACAAUGGGCGAAAGCCUGAUCCAGCCAUGCCGCGUGUGUGAAGAAGGUCUUCGGAUUGUAAAGCACUUUAAGUUGGGAGGAAGAGCAGUAAGUUAAUGCCUUGCUGUUUUGACGGUACCAACAGAAUAAGCACCGGCUAACUUCGUG
rnacentral:rRNA from 1 species